rnacentral:rRNA from 1 species
GCUGGCGGUGCGUUUAAUACAUGCAAGUCGAACGAGAUUGUUAAAGAGUUUACUUUUUAACAUGAUAGUGGCGGACGAGCGAGUAACACGUAAGUAGCUACCCCGUACUCAGGGACAACCAGUCGAAAGAUUGGCUAAUACCGGAUGGUCUCGAAAGAGUAAAGAUUUAUCGGUACGGGAGGUGCUUGCGGCCUAUCAGCUAGUUGGUGAGGUAAAGGCUUACCAAGGCGAUGACGGGUAUCUGGUGUGAGAGCAUGACCAGACGCGAUGGGACUGAGACACGGCCCAUACUCCUACGGGAGGCAGCAGUAGAGAAUCUUCCGCAAUGGACGAAAGUCUGACGGAGCGACACCGCGUGGUGGAUGACACCCUUCGGGGCGUAAACACCUUUUAUGGGGGAAGAAAUUCUGACGGUACCCCAUGAAUAAGGACCGGCUAAUUACGUGCCAGCAGCCGCGGUAAUACGUAAGGUCCGAGCGUUAACCGGAAUUAUUGGGCGUAAAGCGUCCGCAGGCGGUUUAUCAAGUUGAUUAUUAAAUACCGAAGCUCAACUUCGGUGCUGUAGUCAAAACUGGUAAACUAGAGGUAUGGAGAGGUGCGUGGAAUUGUGCAAGUAGGGGUAAAAUCCGUAGAUAUGCAUAGGAACACCAAAAGCGAAGGCAGCGCACUGGCCAUUAUCUGACGCUCAGGGACGAAAGCGUGGGGAGCGAAAGGGAUUAGAUACCCCUGUAGUCCACGCCGUAAACGAUGCAUGCUUCGAUGUUGGGACC